AUUCCCCCAGUAGCGGCGAGCGAACGGGGAGCAGCCCAGAGCCUGAAUCAGUAUGUGUGUUAGUGGAAGCGUCUGGAAAGGCGCGCGAUACAGGGUGACAGCCCCGUACACAAAAAUGCACAUAUUGUGAGCUCGAUGAGUAGGGCGGGACACGUGGUAUCCUGUCUGAAUAUGGGGGGACCAUCCUCCAAGGCUAAAUACUCCUGACUGACCGAUA
rnacentral:rRNA from 1 species